GCGCACGUGGCGGAAUUGGUAGACGCGCAUGAUUCAGAUUCAUGUGCCUUAGGGCGUGGAGGUUCGAUUCCUCUCGUGCGCACCA
rnacentral:tRNA from 1 species